UGGGGAAUUUUGGGCAAUGGGCGAAAGCCUGACCCAGCAACGCCGCGUGAAGGAUGAAGUCUUUCGGGAUGUAAACUUCGUAAAAAUAGGAAGAAUAAAUGACGGUACUAUUUGUAAGGUCCGGCUAACUACGUGCCAGCAGCCGCGGUAAUACGUAGGGACCAAGCGUUGUUCGGAUUUACUGGGCGUAAAGGGCGCGUAGGCGGCGUGGUAAGUCACUUGUGAAAUCUCCGAGCUUAACUCGGAACGGUCAAGUGAUACUGCUGUGCUAGAGUACAGAAGGGGCAAUCGGAAUUCUUGGUGUAGCGGUGAAAUGCGUAGAUAUCAAGAGGAACACCUGAGGUGAAGACGGGUUGCUGGGCUGAUACUGACGCUGAGGCGCGAAAGCUAGGGUAGCAAACGGGAUUAGAUACCCAAGUAGUCCCUGAGCGGGCUGGCAAGGCGCAU
rnacentral:rRNA from 1 species